GACGAACGCUGGCGGCGCGCCUAACACAUGCAAGUCGAACGAGCAAAGAGGAGCUUGCUUCUCUGAGCGAGUGGCGAACGGGUGAGUAACGCGUGAGGAACCUGCCUCAAAGAGGGGGACAACAGUUGGAAACGACUGCUAAUACCGCAUAAGCCCACGGGUCGGCAUCGACCAGAGGGAAAAGGAGUAAUCCGCUUUGAGAUGGCCUCGCGUCCGAUUAGCUAGUUGGUGAGGUAAUGGCCCACCAAGGCGACGAUCGGUAGCCGGACUGAGAGGUUGAACGGCCACAUUGGGACUGAGACACGGCCCAGACUCCUACGGGAGGCAGCAGUGGGGAAUAUUGCACAAUGGGGGAAACCCUGAUGCAGCGACGCCGCGUGGAGGAAGAAGGUCUUCGGAUUGGUAAACUCCUGUUGUUGAGGAAGAUAAUGACGGUACUCAACAAGGAAGUGACGGCUAACUACGUG
rnacentral:rRNA from 1 species